AUGAGCACGCGAGGGGAGAUGUCUCCUCCGCUCCGCCGCACCCCUCCGCCGCCCGCCUCUCUGCCAGACGACGACGACCUGCUCCGGGAGAUUCUCCUCCGCCUGCCGCCCCGCCCUUCCUCCCUCCCCAGGGCCUCCCUCGUUUGCAAGCGUUGGCGCAGCCUCAUCGGCGAUCCCCAAUUCCAACGCCGCUUCCGCGGCCACCACGGCAAGCCUCCUCUCCUUGGCUUCUUCCUCGAUGAGUAUAGCUCCUGUCCGUUUGUUCCACUGCUGGAUCGACCAGAUCGCAUCCCCGGCGAUCGCUUCUUCAAGCCUCUCCAUGACGGCAACCGCAUCGUCGACUGCCGCCAUGGACUUGUACUUAUCUUCAGCUCAAGGCAAAACACAUGGCCGCCGCGCCACCUAUUGGUGUGGGAUCCCGUCGCCCGCGAGCAGUGCCGCCUCAUCUUCCCACCAGAGCUGGACGUUGACCAGAUGUUCAUCUUCAACGGGGCGGUGCUUCGCCCUGCCCGCAGUCACGGCCAUUUCCAGGUGGCCCUGGUAGCCCAUUACGUACGUGCUGAUAAUCCUAAAAGAGUUUUCGCAUGCCUUUACUCAUCAGAGAACGGCACAUGGAGCAAUAUCAAGUCACUGCAGCUGCAAUCGUUUAUAGCCUCGCCAGAACCCAGCACUUUGAUUGGGAAUUCCAUUUGCUGGUUAAUUAAGGAGGGGCAUCAUCACAAUCGCCGGUAUGUCAUAGUUGAGUUUGAUUUGGAUAGGCAGAGCCUAGCUGUGAUAGAGCUGCCACCGCACAUAGAAGCCGGCAUUUCAAAGCUAAGGAUUAUGCCCACAGAGGAUGGUGGGCUUGGCUUCAUUGAUCUCUCAGGAUUCCACGCCGAGAUAUGGAAGAGAAAGCCUGAUUCUGAUGGUUUGGCUGUAUGGGUGCUCGACAGAGCUAUUGAAUUCAAGGAGCUCAGUUCAACUUGGAAGGGGUACCUAUUUUUAGUGGGGUUUGCCGAGGAGAGUAAUGCACUACUUUUAAAGAUAGGUUCCGCUUUGUUCAUGGUCUAUCUCCAGUCAAUGGAGUUUAAGAAACUUCCCAAUAUGACCGGCUUCCAUAGCUAUUAUCCAUUUGAGUUUUGCUACGCGGCAGGUACUGGCAUUGGUGAUGGGAUGGUGGAGAUGAAGUGA
rnacentral:rRNA from 1 species